AGUUCUGAAAACGCCAUAGGGUGGCUAUCAAGUUUAAUAAAAACGAGGAAGAGAUGAUAUGCGCAUGUACUUUGCUUAUCUUUCAUAUUGGUAUAAUUAUGGAUUUCCCUUUCGCUGGAUGGUGCUAGUGUAGCUGGGGAAUUGGUAAAUGCACUAUCCGGACACAAGUGAUAGGCUAUAUGUUAUAGUUUGUCCGAUGGACCGAUAGCAUUUUUUUUAUUCAUAUACCGUAGUUGCAGAUUUUCCAUUGCUUCAUGUAGUUUCAGAAAGAAAAAAAUGAUUUAUAUGUAAAUUUUGUUGAUUAAGUCACAUAGAUUUUCUUCACUCUUGUUUCUCCAAGUUUUCAUGAGUAUGUAUCAUGGUUUAAAAAUUUUGUGUCCAAAACAUUUUGGCCACCACUGAAUUGUCUCAAAAUUUUGGUUUUCGACCCGGCCAAAUAGUUUCACUUCAGUUCUACGACAUUGGAAUAUUCUUUGGGCUGUUCCUAGUUUGCAACUUAAUUUCCAACACUCUCCUCUGUGCUAUAUGUUAGUUUUUUAUGGCCAUUUUCUAUUAUAGGGGCAUGUCUACUCCUUUUGCAAUAUUCAUUACAGUUAUGUCAGUAUACCUUGUGUUUUUCUUGGAUUUUUUUCUCUAAUCAGCUGGAUGUACAAGUACAUCUAGAAGUUCGAGCCUCUCCAGUUUUAUAUUAGAGGCAUGUGUACACCGUUACUUCAUUUUGUUGAAUUGUGACAAUGCACAAUAAGCUUUUUGUUUUACAUCUCUAUCUUUGGUUCACUUGCCUAUUUGUGAUCUAAACAUCAUGUUUUUCAGGUCCGUAUUGGUUAUUUCGCUAGAGACGUUGCCAUGAUAUUUGGGAUUUAACCUUUCAUCGGUGGAAUGGAGUCAUUAAGUAAACAUAUUUUGUCUUACCCUUCCUUCCCCUUCCACUUCUCCCAUUUUCCAUUCAAAUUGAAUAUAUAACCUUUACCUACUACUCUCACUCAACUUUUAUAAAGUUCAUUUUCUGUAUCUGCUGCUUACUUUUAGGUUGUGAACCACACGUCUAUCUUUUAUAAAUUGCGAAGAUGAUUCCCUCUCAUCUCCACACUCAGUACUUGAUAACAGCAUAGUUGAGUAUGUGCAGUUCAUUUGCCUUCUCCAAAUUGUAAAUAGGUUGGUGUCCUGCAGUAUAACAAUUAGUGUAAGCUUGUACAUGGAUCCUUUGCCAUCUCAAUGAAAUAUUAUUGGCCAACAUGUAAUUGAUACUACUGAUUGUGCUCGCUCUCAUUCUUGAGUAGAUUUUUAUACUGGCAGUUUUUUUGGUCAUUCCAGGCCCUUACAACAACCGCUAAACAGAUCUUUUGUAAUUACUAUUUUUUGCAUAGAUCAUUCUUCCAUCACGAUCUUUUAUCAGAGCAACAAAGAGAGGUUUUUAUUUCAUACAAACCUGUAUUUCAUUGCAUACUACAUUCACUUGCAAUAUGUUUUACAGUCUUGAUUCUGCUCUUACAACCAGAAGUAACUCUGUUGGAAUGAAUGAGAAAAGACAUUCUGUUGAAGCAAAGUAUUAAGCUCUUAGAAAAUUUGCAAGCAUGUUGUAGUGAUGGAGUCCUUGCAGCUAGUAUUUCAAGGUAUACAAAAUAUGGCUCCCUUUUGGUCUGGAUGGACCUAAAGGUUCUGGCGGGAGCUCAAGUUAUCCUGUAGGUUCUGACUGAGCAUUCUCUAUACAUGUCAAAGAUUUCAUAUAGACUUCAAAAGAAGCAUGCAGGGAUGCAGCGAUGGCAGUGGUUGGAGGCUGGUGCAGGGGACGCGACUGCGGGCAGCAGUGGCGGCAGUCGGCUCCUGGCGGUGCAGAGCAGCGGCCGUGCGCGAGGCGUGGUGUAACGGACACGGCGGCAGACAGCGCCGCAGUGGCAGCGAUCACCUCCUGGCAGUGCAGAGCAGGCGGCCGUGUACGCCAGGCGGCGUGCAGAGUCAAGCUCGGCGGCGACAGGAAGGUCGCGACAGAGGUGUCGCCGGCGGGCGCACGACUGCGUCUGCGGAUGCACGGCCACGGUUACGCACGAUCUGAGGGGGGAAAGUCACGGGAGCGGGAGCUGCGGUUAUGGACGCCUCUGAUCUGAAAAAAUAGUCACGGCAGCGGAACAUUGUCCGUCCCUGUCCGUGAGAGUGCUAGUCGUUAGAUGAAGGAUGUAUGGCCCUGAUUUGUUGGAUCACCACCCUCUCUUCCUUUUAAUAGUAGUGGUGAUGUAUCUAGAUACAUUUUAAUUAAAAAUACAUUUAUAUUUACAUAUA